rnacentral:rRNA from 1 species
AUUGAACGCUGGCGGCAGGCCUAACACAUGCAAGUCGAGCGGAUGAAGGGAGCUUGCUCCUGGAUUCAGCGGCGGACGGGUGAGUAAUGCCUAGGAAUCUGCCUGGUAGUGGGGGAUAACGUCCGGAAACGGGCGCUAAUACCGCAUACGUCCUGAGGGAGAAAGUGGGGGAUCUUCGGACCUCACGCUAUCAGAUGAGCCUAGGUCGGAUUAGAUAGUUGGUGGGGCAAAGGCCUACCAAGGCGACGAUCCGUAACUGGUCUGAGAGGAUGAUCAGUCACACUGGAACUGAGACACGGUCCAGACUCCUACGGGAGGCAGCAGUGGGGAAUAUUGGACAAUGGGCGAAAGCCUGAUCCAGCCAUGCCGCGUGUGUGAAGAAGGUCUUCGGAUUGUAAAGCACUUUAAGUUGGGAGGAAGGGCAGUAAGUUAAUACCUUGCUGUUUUGACGUUACCAACAGAAUAAGCACCGGCUAACUUCGUG